CGAACAUUUCCAUCUGCAGAACAAAAACUUUUCCCUCUCUUGAGAUUCCUUUUUGGCCUCUGAUGACCCCAGCCUUGAAGGUGGCAAGCCCUUGGAGGACCCGCUGAAACUCUGAAUGCAGAGUGGUCCAUGAGAGAGAAAGAGCCUUGGGACUGUCUCUGGUGGCCACUGAAAACAAGGUCCCUAUACUGCAAGGAAUGCUGGUGAGAGCGCCCACUAUAUCCCAGUCAUCCAGCCUCUGGGUCUUAGAGCCAGGCCCCCUGGUUCCAUCCACCCCUCCCUCUUCACCAGGCCUCAGUGUCCUCAUCUGUAGAAUGGGAUGAUGACAGGGUCGGGUCAACCCCUGAUCCCUGGGUUUCUCUGGAUCAGUUCUGGGAUCAUUGUG
rnacentral:lncRNA from 10 species